ensembl:lncRNA
AAAAAAAAAUCUGGUCUCAGCAAAUUGCUCCCCUACUUAAGAUCACUUACUGAUCACUUGCUUUCCUGGCAGCUCAGUUGGUAACGAAUCCGCCUGCAAUGCAGGAGAUGCUGGUUGGAUUCCUGGGUGGGGAAGAUCCCCUGGGGAAGGGAUAGGCUACCCACUCCAGUAUUCUUGGGCUUUCCUGGUGGCUCAGGUGGUAAAGAAUCUGUCUGCAACGCAGGAGAUCUGGGUUCAGUCCCUGGGUUGGGAAGAUUCCCCUGGAGGAGGGCAUGGCAACCCACUCAAGUAUUCUUGCCUGGAGAAUCCCCAUGGACUGUGUAGUCCACGGGGUCCAAAGAGUCAGACACGACUGAUCAAGGAAGCACAGCACAGCAGCACUGAGUACUCAGCUAGCUCCAAAAGAAAGCCUUACCUCCUGAGCAUGGCUCGGUUCCUGUUUGGGCUCCUGCCUUUUUUCCAGCUUUUUUCCCAUCAGCCCUGCUGCAACCCUCCUCCUCCAUGCACCAGCUCUACUGUACUAUUGACACCUCUACAUAUAAGGCUCAGCGACCCCGAGCUUUCCCAGAUGUGGGAUUUUUAGUGCUAAAACCAGGACAGCCCCGGGCAAACCAGGAUCCUGGUCACCCUAGUUCUGUGUAUCAUCUUCCUCAAUCCUGAAUGCUCCCCCUUGUCUGUCCCACCCCGUGUUUACUAUCCAAUACUCCUCAUCCUCCGUUUCUGCUUGCACAUCACUUCUGCUGCCCCCAGGGAGUGGUUUAUUCAUCCUAUCUAGGCGCUCUGGGGCUUCCCAGGAGGCACUGAACAGAAAGUGAAAGUGUUAGUCGCUCAGUCAUGUCCUGACUCUUUUGCAACCCCAUGGACUGCAGCCCGCCAGGCUCCUCUGUCCAUGGAAAUCCCAGGCGAGAAUACUGGUACCUAUGCCCUCCUCCAGGAGAUGUUCCUGACCUGGGGAUAGAACCCAGGUCUCCCGCAUUGCAGGUGAAAUCUUUACCAUCUGAGUCACCAGGGGUGCUAGUGGAAAAGAACCCGCUGCCAGUUCAGGAGACCCAAGAGACAUGGGUUCGAUCCCUGGGUCUGGAGAAGGAAAUGGCAACCCACUCCAGUAUUCUUGCCUGGAGAAUCCCAUUGAUAGAGGAGCCUGGCGGGCUACAGUCCAAGGGGUCUCAAAGAGCCGAACAUGACCAAGUGACUUAGCACAAAUGCUCAGGCUCUCCUGGCAGUGACCACUGUGUUCUAACAGCUUCUCUGUCUCUCUUCAAGUUAUAAACUCAUUAAAGACUGAGGCUUUUUUUUUUUUUUCCCUUCUACCUAUAAUCUCAGAGCCUAGCAGAGAUUCUGGUGCACAGUAGGUGUGCAAUGAAGUUUUAUUGAUUUAAUGACUAUCAGUAUCAACAUAUCAAGUGUCAUCUAUUUCAUAUCACUACGUGGGAUGUUAUGGACUGAAUGUUUGGGUCCCCUCCAAAACUCAUAUGUUGAAGUCUUAACCCCCAGAGCGGCUGUAUUUGGACGUGGAGCCUUUAGGGAAAUGCAUGAGUGUGUGCUAAGUCGCUCAGUCGUCUCCAACUCUCUGCGACCACAUGGACUGUAGCCUGCCAGGCUCCUCUGUCCAUGGGAUUUUCCAGACAAGGAUACUGGAGUGGGUUGCCAUUUCCUCCUCCAGGGGAUCUUCCUGACUCAGGGAUCAAGCCUGUGUCCCAAUGCAGGGGGCCUGGGUUUGAUCCCUGGUCAGCAAACUAGAUCCUAUAUGCUGCAACUAAAGAUCCCACAUCCCACAACUAAGCCCUGGUGUGAUUAAAUAAAUUUUUUUAAAAAUUCAAGUAACCCUAAAUUCAACACUAUACUUUAAAAACAGCAUGUGCAGAUUGAGCCUAUUCCUGUUACAGUCACUCUAUCUAUGUAGCUCUCUAUCCAUCCUUCUAUCUGUAUUUGUUAUAACAGUGUUCACCAACUGUGGAUAUUUAUAGUAUUUCUGUGAUCAUAAAGUCAGGAUGAUUUGAACUUAGGUAAAAAAA